GCACCGGAUAACAAAGUGGAGUCCUGGCUGAGCACUAACAGUGUGGGACAGGGGAAGUGAGGGGACAUGGGAUGGUGGGAGCCGGGGUUCAGGGAUGGGGGACGAGGGGGGAAACCAAGGUCGGCAAACAGGAGACCACAGAGGACAAGGAGAAAACUGGAGCUGCUGCCAUAGGAGAUGGGGAUCAGGAGAUGAAGGUGGCAAAGAAAGAGGUAAGGGAGAGGAGGAAGAGCAGGCACCGCAAUGGGGAUCAGAUGUGCUCUUGCUCAAUGGGUUCUACACCCAAAGUGCCUGGGGUGCUCUUUGGUGUCCCAAUGCUCUGCUUACCUAACCCUAACCCUUACCUAACCCUAACCUUAACCCUUACUUAACCCUUACCUAAACCUAACCCUUACCUAAACCUAACACAUGCAACGUGCCUGGGGUGCUCUUUGGUGUCCACAUGCUCUGCUUACCUAACCCUAACCCUUACCUAACCCUUACCUAACCCUUACCUAACCCUAACCCUUACCUAACCCUAACCCUUACCUAACCCUAACCCUUACCUAACCCUAACCCUUACCUCACCCUAACCCUUACCUCACCCUAACUCUAACCUAACCCUAACCCUUACCUAACCCUAACCCUUACCUGGCCAUUGCUUGCUGGGGGGGGUGGGAGGUGCCUGUCCCCUUUCUGGGGGGUGUUUGGGCACAAGAGCCUGCACUGAGGCUGCUCAGCACCCACUGAAUGUGCCUCAGGCCCUUGGUGCUCUGUGGCUGUGGAGGGGGACAUGGGAUGGUGGGGACAUGGGGGUGCUCCCUGUCCCAUCCCUGCUCUGUUGAGGACCCAUAAGGGACACAGAGGACAGAAGAGCCAUGGCCAGAGCUUGGUCUGGUGCUUGGGAAGGGAUUGCACUGAAGGAUGCUCCAAAGGGAGAGGUUCUCAUUGUGUCCUUAUCCCCCUGCAGGAACCUGAGGACAUCCCCAAGAUUCCAGGGCUGGGUGACCUGGGCAGGAUGUAUGGGUACAACCCCAGCCCCCCCAAGCUCGAGGGCAUCCGGAGGCCGACGAGCAGGACUGCACUGCUGCAGAGCAAGAGGCUUUCCAGCACCCCCCAGCCCAGCACGGCUGUAAGCAGAGCUCCUGGGAUGGGAUGGGAUGGGAUGGGAUGGAUGGGAUGAGAUGGGCUGGGAUGGGAUGGGAUG
rnacentral:lncRNA from 14 species